UUUGCUCUGARCCACAGUUGCGUUGGUAGAUCAUUUGGACUAGUCGACCCGGCAACUUCUCCGUGUUUAGUUAGUGCGCGUUCGAGUUAUAAAUUGCAAGAAAUUUACAUCUGACAGGCGUACUAUAUAUAGUACCUAACCUGAAAGUGGAUUAACGUGUAMAUUUUCGAGUGUAUACAUAA